rnacentral:piRNA from 1 species
UAAACUCUUCUAAAAAAGAUA